UACGGGGGGGGCAAGCGUUGUUCGGAAUUACUGGGCGUAAAGGGCUCGUAGGCGGCCAACUAAGUCGGAUGUGAAAUCCCCAGGCUUAACCUGGGAACUGCAUCCGAUACUGGAUGGCUUGAAUCCGGGAGAGGAAUGCGGAAUUCCAGGUGUAGCGGUGAAAUGCGUAGAUAUCUGGAGGAACACCGGUGGCGAAGGCGGCAUUCUGGACUGUAACUGACACUGAGGAACGAAAGCCAGGGGAGCAAACGGG
rnacentral:rRNA from 1 species